rnacentral:rRNA from 1 species
GUAGGUGGCAAGCGUUGUCCGGAAUUAUUGGGCGUAAAGCGCGCGCAGGCGGUUCUUUAAGUCUGAUGUGAAAGCCCACGGGCUCAACCGUGGAGGGUCAUUGGAAACUGGAGAACUUGAGUACAGAAGAGGAAAGCGGAAUUCCACGUGUAGCGGUGAAAUGCGUAGAGAUGUGGAGGAACACCAGUGGCGAGGGCGGCUUUCUGGUCUGUAACUGACGUUGAGGCGCGAAAGCGUGGGGAGCAAACAGGAUUAGAUACCCUGGUAGUCCACGCCGUAAACGAUGAGUGCUAAGUGUUAGGGGGUUUCCGCCCCUUAGUGCUGCAGCUAACGCAUUAAGCACUCCGCCUGGGGAGUACGGCCGCAAAGGCUG